rnacentral:rRNA from 1 species
AAAAAAAAUCGCCUGUUUAUCAAAAACAUUUCUAUUAAAAUAAUUAAUAGUAAGGUCUGCUCAGUGAAAUUAAAUAGCCGCAAGUCGUGCUAAGGUAGCAUAAUCAUUUGUCUUUUAAAUAAGGACUAGAACAAAAGAUUUAACAUUUCAGUUUAUUUUUCUAAUUUAAGUUAACAAAAUUUUAUUAAAUGUAAAAAGACAUUUAUACUGUAGAAAGACGAUAAGACCCUAUCGAACUUAACUUAUGUUUAACUGGGGCAGUUAGUUAAUUAUUAUUUUAAAAAUAAAUAAUAUUUACAAAUCCACUAUAAUUGAAUUAUUCAGUUACCAUAGGGAUAACAGCAUAAUUAUAUUUUUAAGCUCGCAUUUAUAAUAUAAAUUGUGACCUCGAUGUUGAAUUAAAAACCUGAUUAGGGCAAGACUUAUAAUAAGGGGGUCUGUUCGACCCUUAAACAUUUACCUGAUCUGAGUUCAGACCGGA